UCUCAUUCUCUCCUUUACAAUCAUUCUGCAAUUAUCUUUCUCUCUCAUUUACAUUCGCCAACUCUUCGCAUACCCCAGUAUCCCAGCCCCGUUUAACCCUUCUCUCUUCUUCUUCUUCACAUUUCUUGAAAAAACAUCAAGUACCGAUUUCUAUAGUUCUCUUUCAUCUGAUUAUGUUGUAUGACGUUAAAGUUCUGAUUUUUAUAGUGUUCUUCACAAACACACAAAGUUUAUAUGGUAUAAUGAUGUUCAAAACACAUAAAGAUAUGAUUUUUAUACUGCUGUUUGUAGUUAAGUGUUCUUUGUAUGCAUUGUGUUGUUUGGAUUUUUAUAAAGUUUAGUUGAUUGUUUAAGGAUUGUAUUUUAUAGUGUUGAUUUUGUUGAACGCCCGUUUAACCCUUCUCUCUUCUUCUUCUUCGUGUUAUCUUUACAUUUCUGUUUCACUUUUGACUUUUUUAACAUUUCUUUUUACGAAUCCAUGAGGAAACAAGUGCUGAUGCUGGAAUUUCUGAGUUUAUUUUCCAAAAUAUGGUGUAUUCAUGUUGAAAACACAUGAAGUUGCGAUUUUUAUAGUUCUCUUUCUACUAUUUAUGUUGAAUGCUGUUAAAGUUAUGAUUUUUAAGUGUCCUGACAAACACACAAAGUUUAGAUGGUCUAAUGAUGUUCUUAACACAUAAAGUUUGGAUUUUUAUACUGUUCUUUAUAGUUAACUGUUGUUUGUAUGCAUAGUGCUGUGGUGAUUUUUAUAAAGUUUAUAUGAUUCUUAAAGGAUUGUAUUUUAUAGUGUUCAUUUAGAAUGAUGAUUGUUUUUUAUACUGAUUUGCCAAAUGACUGAUAUUGUGUUGUUUAUAACUGAUCCAUAAAGAUAUCAUGGAUAUAAAGUAGUUCUUUGUAUGAAGUUCUGAUUUUUAUUGCCUGUGCUUUGUUUUCUCUAAGUGCUAACAGAACUGGUAUUUGUUUCAGUUUUUUGAACAACCAUGUCUAGACCACCAAUUAUGAUUUCCGAAUUGAAACCCGAUCGAAAUGUAUGGAAGAUAGCAAUUCGUGUUGUCGAUGUAUGAGACGUCAAGGAACGCAAUGGUCAGCAACACGUUGAAGGCAUCCUUCAAGAUGCAAAGUUUUAAUCAAGACCAUAAAGUUCUCACAAUUGAUUCUUUGAUCUCUAACUUCAUCCUUCCCUUGUAGGGAGAUGAUAUAUCUGGAAAGGAUCAACGAGUUCAUUGUUCCAUAAAUAUCAACAGAGAAUGAACGUUUGUUAGCAAGAAGACCAAGUCUGUAGGUUUUUUAUACUUUCUCAUCAGAUGUAUAUUUGGACCAAUUAAUCAUCAAAUUUCCAAAAGACAAAGUUUUAAUCUAACUUGUAUAAUUUACAUUAGAAUCAACCAGCUUUAGAAAAGGACCGAUAUAAAAUUCGUCAAGCAUUCGUAGUUGCUCCUGGAAAUUCUCUUAUAGUUGUUGAUUAUGGAGAGGUCUGUAGUUUACUUAUUGGUUAAAUUGAGGUAGUUGAUUGGUAUUUCAUUCUGUUGAUGAUUGGUUUACUUAUUGGUAUAAUAUUGAAUUCUGUUGUAAUAUUUGGAUUAGCAUGCAUAUUCAUAUAUUGCAUAUCAUGUUAAUUGUUAACUAUGCAAGAUAAUUAUCAUGACAUAAUU